rnacentral:lncRNA from 1 species
AUGACCAAGGUCAAGUCCUACCUGCAGGUAACAGUUACACAGCAGCACCAGAAGCAGAGGUGCUGGCAAGUUCACAGCACACCAGGGAAUCUCAGAGCUCAGAUUACACCCAGCCUGUGUGGUCACCUGCUGCAGGAGCUACAUUCUCAUACCUCGUGGCUUCUCAGUAGUUCCCACUGUACCAAGUGCAGCAGUGAUACAGACAGAAACAAAAGGGGCAAUACUGUUGGGGAGCUCAGCCCUAGAAUUGUGAAAAUGACUGUUAUCACCUUACUCAUCAUCACUCUAUGCAUCAAAAUGUUUAUUUGUUGUCUAUCAGGACCUACUCUAGGUUUGAAGACUAUCUUUAUAAACUAAAUGAAGACUUUUUCACCUGGGGAGUUUUGUUACCGUGGACCAUGGCAGGGAAAUGAUAAAUGAGGUAUUUCCUUUCUUUUGGAUGUUGCAGACUCAAAAUUCAGCCUGAUCUAUUUGGGUGGAAACCUCAUUCCCUCCGAUGCAAGGUAUGGCAAGAGAGCCUGUGCUUGUCAACUGACCUUGUGGGGCUGACAUUCUGCUACAGAGAUCUGUUCGGUUAUGAGCUAGGGUAGAAAAAGAGCAAAGGCACAAGGUGAUCGCUACACUUGCAGGGAGCUGACUGAAGGAGAGGAGGGAGGAGCAGUUGAUUGACAUGUCAGAUCUGAACCUUUCAGUCCAUGUGGGUACUAUUGCUGUUUUAACAACAUCAAACUGUGCAAUCCAAGGCAUCUUCCCAUUUAUCUAGGUGUUCUCUUGUUCCUUUCAAUAUUAUUUUGGAGACUUUUUUUUUGGAGUUCAGAGUGCAAACAUUGUAUAAUUUUUUUGAUGUUUAUUCCUAGGCAUUUUCUUGUUUCCAUGUUAGUGUAGAUGAAGCUUUUGUUUUCUUUUAUUUUCAGAUGAUCAGUACCUUGUAUUUAAGUUUAGAAGGUCAAUUCUGCAACCUCACAGAACUUUUAAUUUUAGUAGCUUUUCAGGUGACUUCUGUGGGUUCUCUUGAGGCCACAUGGUUUCCCCUGCACCUGUGCAUAGUUUUGCUUUUUUCUUUCUCAUCCAUGUGCUACCAUUUUGGAUGCAUCUUCUAAAAUAACAUGAGUUAUAUAUUGUGAAAAUUGGAAAAAAAGAAGAGAUGAGACUAUAUAAAGUAUUUCCAGUUGUUUACAAAUUUUGGUCCAGACAAAUGUGGCUCUUUGUCCCUAAGGGUAGGAUGUUACCCAGGCCUGGGGAGUUCCCAUUAAAGAUGUGUGAAGGAAUAAACUUAAGCAAUGUUUGACUAUUACA